AGAGCCCAAACCAAAAAGCUUGCUUCUUGGGGUUGUAGGACACUCUAUACGGAGUUACAAAAGAAAGUUAUAAAUGAAGCGGUCUGGAAAGGCCCGCCAAAGACGGUAACAGCCCGGUAGUUGAAAUAGCUUUCCCUCCAGAGUGGAUCCUGAGUACGGCGGAACACGUGAAAUUCCGUCGGAAUCCGGGAGGACCAUCUCCCAAGGCUAAAUACUCCCUAGUGACCGAUAGUGAACCAGUACCGUGAGGGAAAG
rnacentral:rRNA from 1 species